CAGAACGAACGCUGGCGGCAGGCCUAAAACAUGCAAGUUGAACGGCUGUAGCAAUACAGCAGUAGCGCACGGGUGAGUAAUAUAUGGGAACAUGUCUUUUGGUGGGGAAUAUUCUCUGGAAACGGAGAGCAAUACCGCAUAAGCCCUACGGGGGAAAGAUUUAUCGCCGAUAGAGUGGCCCAUAUUGGAUUAGCUAGUUGGUUGGGUAACGGCUGACCAAGGCGACGAUCCAUAGCUGAUCUGAGAGGAUGAUCAGCCACACUGGGACUGAGACACGGCCCAGACUCCUACGGGAGGCAGCAGUUAGGAAUAUUGGACAAUGGGGGCAACCCUGAUCCCAGCCAUGCCGCGUGGAGUGUUAAGGCCUUCGGGUUGUAAAGGUCUGUCAGUGGGGACGAACGAUGACGGUACCCACAGAGGAAGCACCGGCUAACUCCGUGCCAGCAGCCGC
rnacentral:rRNA from 1 species